rnacentral:rRNA from 1 species
CAGUCGCCGCGGGAACACGAAGGGUGCAAGCGUUACUUGGAAUUACUGGGCGUAAAGCGUGCGUAGGUGGUGGUUUAAGUCCGUUGUGAAAGCCCUGGGCUCAACCUGGGAAUUGCAGUGGAUACUGGGUCACUAGAGUGUGGUAGAGGAUAGUGGAAUUUCCGGUGUAGCAGUGAAAUGCGUAGAGAUCGGAAGGAACAUCUGUGGCGAAGGCGACUAUCUGGGCCAACACUGACACUGAGGCACGAAAGCGUGGGGAGCAAACAGGAUUAGAUACCCGAGUAGUCCCUGUCUCUUAUAC